CAGGGGUAUGGGACUCAAUUCAUCAGGGGUAUGGGACUCAAUUCAUCAGGGGUAUGGGACUCAAUUCAUCAGGGGUAUGGGACUCAAUUCAUCAGGGGUAUGGGACUCAAUUCAUCAGGGGUAUGGGACUCAAUUCAUCAGGGGUAUGGGACUCAAUUCAUCAGGGCUAUGGGACUCAAUUCAUCAGGGGUAUGGGACUCAAUUCAUCAGGGGUAUGGGACUCAAUUCAUCAGGGGUAUGGGACUCAAUUCAUCAGGGCUAUGGGACUCUACAAGGUGUCGAGAGUCUUCCACAGGGAUGCUGACCCCAUGUUGACUCUACAAGGUGUCUAAAGCGUUCCACAGGGAUGCUGGCCCCAUGUUGACUCUCAUUCUAGACUCUAUCCGAUACCUAGGAAAUAUAGAUCUAUGAAAUUAUAGCCUAGAUCUCCAAAGGGAACUUGGGAGUACUGUCUGGUCUGGUAAGGGUACAUCUAGCUGGGAAUAUAUAUAGUGCACUACUUUAGACCAGAGCCCUAUUCCCUAUAUAGUGCACUACUUUAGACCAGAGCCCUAUUCCCUAUAUAGUGCACUACUUUAGACCAGAGCCCUAUUCCCUAUAUAGUGCACUACUUUAGACCAGAGCCCUAUUCCCUAUAUAGUGCACUACUUUAGACCAGAGCCCUAUUCCCUAUAUAGUGCUACUACUAUAGACCAGAGCCCUAUUCCCUAUAUAGUGGUACUACUUUAGACCAGAGCCCUAUUCCCUAUAUAGUCCACUACUAUAGACCAGAGUCCUAUUCCCUAUAUAGUGGUACUACUUUAGACCAGAGCCCUAUUCCCUAUAUAGUCCACUACUAUAGACCAGAGCCCUAUUCCCUAUAUAGUCCACUACUAUAGACCAGAGCCCUAUUCCCUAUAUAGUGGUACUACUUUAGACCAGAGCCCUAUUCCCUAUAUAGUCCACUACUAUAGACCAGAGCCCUAUUCCCUAUAUAGUGGUACUACUAUAGACCAGAGUCCUAUUCCCUAUAUAGUGCACUACUUUAGACCAGAGCCCUAUUCCCUAUAUAGUGCACUACUUUAGACCAGAGCCCUAUUCCCUAUAUAGUGCACUACUUUAGACCAGAGCCCUAUUCCCUAUAUAGUGCACUACUUUAGACCAGAGCCCUAUUCCCUAUAUAGUGCACUACUUUUGACCAGAGCCCUAUUCCCUAUAUAGUGCACUACUUUUGACCAGAGCCCUAUUCCCUAUAUAGUGCACUACUAUAGACCAGAGCCCUAUUCCCUAUAUAGUGCACUACUGUUGAACAGAGCCCUAUUCCCUAUAUAGUGUACUACUUUAGACCAGAGCCCUAUUCCCUAUAUAGUCCACUACUUUAGACCAGAGCCCUAUUCCCUAUAUAGUCCACUACUUUAGACCAGAGCCCUAUUCCCUAUAUAGUGCACUACUUUAGACCAGAGUCCUAUUCCCUAUAUAGUCCACUACUUUAGACCAGAGCCCUAUUCCCUAUAUAGUCCACUACUUUAGACCAGAGCCCUAUUCCCUAUAUAGUGGUACUACUUUAGACCAGAGCCCUAUUCCCUAUAUAGUGGUACUACUUUAGACCAGAGCCCUAUUCCCUAUAUAGUGGUACUACUUUAGACCAGAGCCCUAUUCCCUAUAUAGUGGUACUACUUUAGACCAGAGCCCUAUUCCCUAUAUAGUGCACUACUUUUGACCAGAGCCCUAUUCCCUAUAUAGUGCACUACUUUUGACCAGAGCCCUAUUCCCUAUAUAGUGCACUACUAUAGACCAGAGCCCUAUUCCCUAUAUAGUGCACUACUGUUGAACAGAGCCCUAUUCCCUAUAUAGUGUACUACUUUAGACCAGAGCCCUAUUCCCUAUAUAGUCCACUACUUUAGACCAGAGCCCUAUUCCCUAUAUAGUCCACUACUUUAGACCAGAGCCCUAUUCCCUAUAUAGUGCACUACUUUAGACCAGAGUCCUAUUUCCUAUAUAGUCCACUACUUUAGAACAGAGCCCUAUUCCCUAUAUAGUCCACUACUUUAAACCAGAGCCCUAUUCCCUAUAUAGUGGUACUACUUUAGACCAGAGCCCUAUUCCCUAUAUAGUGGUACUACUUUAGACCAGAGCCCUAUUCCCUAUAUAGUGGUACUACUUUAGACCAGAGCCCUAUUCCCUAUAUAGUGGUACUACUUUAGACCAGAGCCCUAUUCCCUAUAUAGUGGUACUACUUUAGACCAGAGCCCUAUUCCCUAUAUAGGGUGCACUACUUUAGACCAGAGCCCUAUUCCCUAUAUAGUCCACUACUUUAGACCAGAGCCCUAUUCCCUAUAUAGUGGUACUACUUUAGACCAGAGCCCUAUUCCCUAUAUAGUGGUACUACUUUAGACCAGAGCCCCCAUAAGGAAUAGGUGGUCAUUUGAGACUCACCCAUUCCCUCUUUAGUUUCUACGUUUCGUUCCGUCCUCUGAUUCGGUAACAGGAAAGAAACCGCUCCAACGAUCCACCACGGAAGUCCCUCCCCCCUCUGUGUGAAAGAAAGGUCGUCUUCUUCAUUCACCGGUCUUAUCGUUGUUUCUUAUAAUAAUAGUUUUGUUUUUAACUUUCUCAUCAAGACAGCGAGUGAUUGUGUUAGUUGUGUCUGUGCACCCCAAGGUCUGUGCAGAGUAAAACAAUGAAACGAAAAGGGAUGGGGGCUGUCUGUUAUAGAGCUUAUGGACAGUUACAUAUGCAGUGCCUUCGGACAGUAUUCACACCCCUUGACCUUGUUCUACGUUUUGUCUUAAAGAUGUAUUUUUUUGUGUCACUGGCCUCUAACACACCACAAUCAUAAUGUCAAAGUGGAAUUAUGUUUUUAGAAAUGUUUACAAAAUGAUUUAUUUUUUAUUUUUAAAAAGGGAAAAGCUGAAAUGUCUUGAGUCAAUUUUAGUUUUCAACUCCUUUGUUAUGUCAAGCCCUAGAUAAGUUCAGGAGUAAAAAAUGUGCUCAACAAGUCACAUAACAAGUUGGCGUGGACUCACUCUCUGUGUGUAAUAAUAGUGUUUAACGUGAUUCUCUGUACCCCACACAGACAAUUAUCUCUAAGGUCCCUCAGUCGAGAAGAUGUAGUGCAUUCGGACCCGUUGAUUUUUUUCUCUCCACAUUUUGUUACGUUACAGCCUUGAUCAUCCAUUCUACAACUUGAUUGGAGUCCACCUGUGGUAAAUUGAAUUGAUUGGACGUGAUUUGGAAAGCACACACCUGUCUAUAUAAUGUCCCACAGUUGACAGUGCAUGUCAGAGCCAAGGACAAUCCAUGAAGUGUAAAGCUGUCGUCAAGGUAAAGGGUGGCUACUUUGAAGAAUCUCAAAUAUAAAAUAUAUUUUGAUUUGUUUAACACUUUUUUUUUUGGUCACUACAUGAUUCCAUAUGUGUUAUAUCAUAGUUGUGAGGUCUUCACUAUUAUUCUACAAUGUAGAAAAUAGUAAAAAUAAAGAAAAACCUUUUGAAUGAGUAGGUGUGUCCAAACUUUUGACUGGUACUGUAUGUAUUCUUGGCUGAGUAGCC
ensembl:lncRNA